AUGCCCAAUGUGGCUGCCCCACUGGAGCUGUUCCCUGCAGCAAUCCCUGCCUUGCCUACUCAACUCCACUGGGACCCGACCAGGCUGGAACCAUUUCAUCCCUGCUCCCUUAGGGGGAAGCCCCAAAGGAGGGAGGCUGCGCUCUCUACUGGACUCCAUGGGGCCACACAGGCAACCAGUUGCCAAACAGCCAGGAUUGGCCUGGACGUCUCUAGGAACUGAUACAUCAGUCCCUGUAUCAAUCUCCAGACAUUUGAGGAGCUUGACAAACCCAUCCAACUUCCUGUGCACUGGAUCUUCCAUCUCUCGGGCACCUCCUUUGCUAUCCAGCUUGAAAGUCAGGUUUGCUGGAUUCCCAAACAUCCUUUGCUUCAUACAAAUACGACGACAAAUAUUUAUAUACCACUUUUCUCAAAAGUUCCCAAAGUGGUUUAUAUGUAAAAUAAAUAAAUAAAUGAA